rnacentral:rRNA from 1 species
UUGAACGCUGGCGGCAGGCCUAACACAUGCAAGUCGAGCGGAUGAAGGGAGCUUGCUCCUGGAUUCAGCGGCGGACGGGUGAGUAAUGCCUAGGAAUCUGCCUGGUAGUGGGGGAUAACGUCCGGAAACGGGCGCUAAUACCGCAUACGUCCUGAGGGAGAAAGGGGGGGAUCUUCGGACCUCACGCUAUCAGAUGAGCCUAGGUCGGAUUAGCUAGUUGGUGGGGUAAAGGCCUACCAAGGCGACGAUCCGUAACUGGUCUGAGAGGAUGAUCAGUCACACUGGAACUGAGACACGGUCCAGACUCCUACGGGAGGCAGCAGUGGGGAAUAUUGGACAAAGGGCGAAAGCCUGAUCCAGCCAUGCCGCGUGUGUGAAGAAGGUCUUCGGAUUGUAAAGCACUUUAAGUUGGGAGGAAGGGCAGUAAGUUAAUACCUUGCUGUUUUGACGUUACCAACAGAAUAAGCACCGGCUAACUUCGUG